ensembl:snRNA U2 U2 spliceosomal RNA
AUCGCUUCUCGGCCUUUUGGCUAAGAUCAAGUGAAGAUUUUGCUAAUUUAUUAAAACUAUUUUAUGAAUUGACUCAAAUAAAAGAUGAUUUGGGGCUGGCAUUUGGUGCAGCAGUUAAGUCAGCACUUGCAAUGCCCACAUCC